rnacentral:rRNA from 1 species
GACUCCCUGAGAGUCCUGAAGGAACGUUGAAGACGACGACGUUGAUAGGCCGGGUGUGUAAGCGCAGCGAUGCGUUGAGCUAACCGGUACUAAUGAACCGUGAGGCUUAACCUU